CCUACGGGAGGCAGCAGUCGAGAAUCAUUCACAAUGGGGGAAACCCUGAUGGUGCGACGCCGCGUGGGGGAAUGAAGGUCUUCGGAUUGUAAACCCCUGUCAUGUGGGAGCAAAUUAAAAAGAUAGUACCACAAGAGGAAGAGACGGCUAACUCUGUGCCAGCAGCCGCGGUAAUACAGAGGUCUCAAGCGUUGUUCGGAAUCACUGGGCGUAAAGGGUGCGUAGGCUGUUUAGUAAGUCGUGUGUGAAAGGCGCGGGCUCAACCCGCGGACGGCACAUGAUACUGCGAGACUAGAGUAAUGGAGGGGGAACCGGAAUGCUCGGUGUAGCAGUGAAAUGCGUAGAUAUCGAGAGGAACACUCGUGGCGAAGGCGGGUUCCUGGACAUUAACUGACGCUGAGGCACGAAGGCCAGGGGAGCGAAAGGGAUUAGAUACCCGAGUAGUC
rnacentral:rRNA from 1 species